rnacentral:rRNA from 1 species
ACGCGUAGGAAUCUACCUGGUAGUGGGGGACAACAUGUGGAAACGCAUGCUAAUACCGCAUACGACCUAAGGGUGAAAGUGGGGGACCUUCGGGCCUCACGCUAUCGGAUGAGCCUGCGUAAGAUUAGCUAGUUGGUGAGGUAAGAGCUCACCAAGGCGACGAUCUUUAGCUGGUCUGAGAGGAUGAUCAGCCACACUGGAACUGAGACACGGUCCAGACUCCUACGGGAGGCAGCAGUGGGGAAUAUUGCACAAUGGGCGAAAGCCUGAUGCAGCCAUGCCGCGUGUGUGAAGAAGGCU